UCGUACGAGACUGAAGAAGCAAUUCCUAAAGACAUUGAACCCUAGGUAUUGUUGUCGAAGCAUUGUCAUUUUUCCUCCGUGUCUAUGACCACCGUCUCACCACUGCAUCUUCAAACUAAUCUCCUUCAUCUCUCCAUUGUGUGUCGUUUGAUGUUGUGUGGCGUUCGGUGACGGAGUUCGUCAGAGACGGUGACGAAGUUUGUUGUUGUUAUUGGUUAAGGUGACGCUCACUGGGUCCUAUUUGAUUGAGGCGAUUAUAUUGAUGUUUAAGAAGAUUCGAAGUGGUAUAAGCUUGCGUUUCCUGAUGCUGUGUACUUGGUUGAUGCAAUUGAAAGGGGAGAAAAGCUUAUCAAAGCGUGUAAG